ensembl:lncRNA
AUGUGUCACUUAAUACCUAAUAUCAUUGUUGUGCAAAAUGAAAAAAAAAAAAAAAGGACAGAAAAAAGCAUGUCCUCUGUGUUUCUGCUACUGAGAAAGGCCUGGUCCCUGCCUGAAGGGCUGGUCCCUUGGAGGAGAGGCUGGGUCUUCACUUUGAGGGGGAGUGGUAACCCUUGCUGGCCCUGGAGGGGCCCACACCACAGGACCUGCAUUUUUCUGAGUCUUGUGGGAGCGAGAAAGGGGGUGCCAGGUUCCCCGUGGUCACUGCUGAGAGUCAAGGUGUGCUGGUUGUCCUUCAGAAGAUGGAAGGAUUGGGGAGGGAGGGACCAGUACCUUGUGUGUGGGGGCGGGCAGGUGCAGCCCAGCAGCAGUGAUCGACCGGAGGGAAGGCAGGAGAUUCCGACUGGGGCUUGCGGGUCCUCACGCCCAUGCCCCCUGGACUCCCGCUUAGGGGGCAGAAAUGAGGAGUCCUUGGGGGCAGGGGGUGGAGGUAGGUUUGGGGGGAAAGAGUUCAUCUCCCAGGAGAGUUAAGCCCAUUAUUCCACAUAUAGCACAGAGUCAGAGUGGACACAGAUCUGCCCAUUUUAGGUCAGAAACUCUAGGACGCAAAGGACAGCCACAAAGUGUCCACUUAACUGGAGGGUCCCUCAGCUCGCAUCCUUUGACAAAGACUGUUGUUGUUGCUGUUUAGUUGCUAAGUCGUGUACGACUCUUCGCGAUCCCAUGAACCAUAGCCCACCAGGCUCCUCUGUCCUUGGGAUUCUCCAGGCAAGAAUACUGGAGUGGGUGCCAUUUCCUUCUCCAGGGGAUCUUUCUGACUCAGGGAUCGAACCCAUGUCUCUAGCAUCCCAGGUAGAUUCUUUGUAGCUGAGCCACCGGGGAAGCCCGUGAAAGAGAUUCAGUUCAGUUCAGUCACUCAGCUGUGUCCGACUCUUUGUGACCCCAUGGACUGCAGCACGCCAGGCCUCCCUGUCCAUCGCCAACUCCCAUAGUUUACUCAAGCUCAUGUCCAUUGAGUCGGUGAUGCCAUCCAACCAUCUCAUCCUCUGUUGUCCCCUUCUCUUCCCGCCUUCAAUCUUUCCCAGCAUCAAGGUAUUUUCCAGUGAGUCAGUUCUUCACAUCAGGUGGCCAAAGUAUUGGAAUUUCAGCUUCAGCAUCAAUCCUUCCAAUGAACACCCAGGACCAAUCUCCUUUAGAAUGGACUGGUUGGAUCUCCUUGCAGUCCAAGGGACUCUUAAGAGUCUUCUCCAACACCACAGUUCAAAAGCAUCAAUUCUUCGGUGCUCAUGUUUCUUCACAGUCCACCUCUCACAUCCAUACAUGACCACUGGAAAAACCGAAAGAGAUUAUGGAACUGCAAAUGCACCAUCCAUCCACCAGCGCCAGGAUCCUCAUUCAUGGGAAGAGAGUUGAACUUGAAACCUGUGAGAAGCCUGAAAGUUUCCCUUUACAUUUUCAUAUCCUCUGCCCCUCGGACAGGGCCUGGCGCUCAGCAGUGGCUGUUAAGGUGGACGGACUGACGGCUGGAUAGGUGAACCGCACACACGGGGUUCACAGGAGCAGAAAAUGCUACCAGAGCCAGCUCAAGGCCAGGGUACUGCACGUGGGUCACCAACAGAGGGCUCUCUAAGCCUUAAGAGCAAGGCCAGGGGCCAGGACCAGAAAGCCUGUUUUGCGCAGGGGUGAUGGAACUUGGGCUCCCUGCAGACCAGAGGAGGAGAUGGCGUGUUCAAACAGGAGCUGGGAGGCAGGCACUGAACCCCAAUGUCCACGCACUGGGGGCAGGGAGGAGACAGAGGCGUCCCAUGCCUGGGCACUUCCUCAACCUUUGAAAAGGAAACCAACCCCCUGGGUCCAGGGUGGGGUCCGUGACAGGUUUGUUGGGCAGUUCUGCACAAGGCCCAGCACAGGGAAGGUACACAGUCAGCAUGUCCCGAAUGGAAUGAAUGAAUGAAGGAGGCCAGGAGGACGAGAUCAUAACUGGACUGUGGGGAGCGAGCUCCGCCUGUGGCAAAGGUCAUGAGGAAGGAGGCUCAGCAUACGCAAAGGCGGGAUCAAGCCUCAGGAGUCUCCCUGGAAAUUCUCGAGCAUCUACCCCCAAAACCAGAGUCUGCCUACUUUCUGCUUUGUGCUCUCACCUACACCUCUGACUUUACGGGGGGCUGUCCCCCACUACCUCUCUCUGAAAAAAAAGAGUUAACUUACAGCUCCAGUUAAUAAUUCCUGGGUGUGACAGUGUUUCAACCUACAAACUCCUUUGGAAGUCCUCUAGCCUGCCUGAAUAGGUUUUUCCGGCCACAUGUGAUUGCUCAGAGCCUCCCAACUGUGAGAGGCAUGAGAUGUUCUAAACUGUCUAAAUACAGAGUCCUUUGAGCAGUUAAAAGAUUGAUUAGAAAUUGUAUUGGUGAAGGGUUUUUCGCUUAUUGGGCCAAUGUUUGCUGCUAAGUCUCCAUAUCCCUUACCUGCUGUGUCCCUGGCAGUGUAUUGAUUAAUAUAAUUGGUGUAAGUAGUAGCUUUAAUGUUUGCAACCUGGGACCCUUGAGUUAAUUCUUUUUCCUGUUAUAGCUCACCACACCUUUGCUCUGUAGGAAUGCAACUUUAUCUAAUGCUUUUGAAGGUGGCGCUUGACUAAUCACCUUUAGAGAAAAAUAAGUUUUCUGAAGAAAGGAUCUUAAAAUGUUAACAGGCCUCUGGGCCAGAAGAUGAUGCAAAUCACCUAAACUUUUGCAUAUGAUAAGUUUGCAGGAAGAAAGCCUGGCUUACUGUAUGACUCUACCC